rnacentral:miRNA from 1 species
UGAGGGGCUGGGGGUGUGGCUCAGAAGCAGAGUGCCUGCCUAUCACUUGUGAAGCCCUGAGUUCCAUCCCCAGUGCCU